rnacentral:rRNA from 1 species
AUGAACGCUGGCGGCGUGCCUAAUACAUGCAAGUCGAGCGAACAGACGAGGAGCUUGCUCCUCUGACGUUAGCGGCGGACGGGUGAGUAACACGUGGAUAACCUACCUAUAAGACUGGGAUAACUUCGGGAAACCGGAGCUAAUACCGGAUAAUAUAUUGAACCGCAUGGUUCAAUAGUGAAAGACGGUUUUGCUGUCACUUAUAGAUGGAUCCGCGCCGCAUUAGCUAGUUGGUAAGGUAACGGCUUACCAAGGCAACGAUGCGUAGCCGACCUGAGAGGGUGAUCGGCCACACGGGAACUGAGACACGGUCCAGACUCCUACGGGAGGCAGCAGUAGGGAAUCUUCCGCAAUGGGCGAAAGCCUGACGGAGCAACGCCGCGUGAGUGAUGAAGGUCUUCGGAUCGUAAAACUCUGUUAUUAGGGAAGAACAAAUGUGUAAGUAACUAUGCACGUCUUGACGGUACCUAAUCAGAAAGCCACGGCUAACUACGUG